UACAUGGGGUGCAAACGUUGCUCGGAAUUACUGGGCGUAAAGCGCGCGCAGGCGGUCUUUCAAGUCAGUGGUGAAAGCCCGGAGCUCAACUCCGGAAAUGCCAUUGAAACUGUGAGACUUGAGGACGAGAGAGGUGAGUGGAAUUCCCAGUGUAGAGGUGAAAUUCGUAGAUAUUGGGAAGAACACCGGUGGCGAAGGCGGUUCUCUGGGCAUUACCUGACGCUGAGGAGCGAAAGUGUGGGGAGCGAACAGG
rnacentral:rRNA from 1 species